rnacentral:rRNA from 1 species
GACGAAGGGGGCUAGCGUUGUUCGGAAUUACUGGGCGUAAAGCGAGUGUAGGUGGUUGUCAUAGUCAGGUGUGAAAGCCUUGAGCUCAACUCAAGAAAUGCACUUGAUACUGGGCGACUAGAGGACCGGAGAGGAUAGUGGAAUUCCCAGUGUAGUGGUGAAAUACGUAGAGAUUGGGAAGAACACCAGUGGCGAAGGCGGUUGCCUGGAGCUUUGCUGACGCUGAGGCGCGAAAGCGUGGGGAGCGAUCCGG